rnacentral:rRNA from 1 species
GACGAACGCUGGCGGCGUGCCUAAUACAUGCAAGUAGAACGCUGAAGAGAGGAGCUUGCCCUUCUUGGAUGAGUUGCGAACGGGUGAGUAACGCGUAGGUAACCUGCCUUGUAGCGGGGGAUAACUAUUGGAAACGAUAGCUAAUACCGCAUAACAAUGGAUGACACAUGUCAUUUAUCUGAAAGGGGCAAUUGCUCCACUACAAGAUGGACCUGCGUUGUAUUAGCUAGUAGGUGAGGUAAUGGCUCACCUAGGCGACGAUACAUAGCCGACCUGGGAGGGUGGUCGGCCACACUUGGGCUGAGACACGGCCCAGACUCCUUCGGGAGGCAGCAGUAGGGAAUCUUCGGCAAUGGGGGCAACCCUGACCGAACAACGCCGCGUGAGUGAAGAAGGUUUUCGGAUCGUAAAGCUCUGUUGUAAGUCAAGAACGGGUGUGAGAGUGGAAAGUUCACACUGUGACGGUAGCUUACCAGAAAGGGACGGCUAACUACGUG